rnacentral:rRNA from 1 species
UACGGGGGGGGCAAGCGUUGUUCGGAAUUACUGGGCGUAAAGGGCUCGUAGGCGGCCAACUAAGUCGGACGUGAAAUCCCUCGGCUUAACCGGGGAACUGCGUCUGAUACUGGAUGGCUAGAGUUUGGGAGAGGGAUGCGGAAUUCCAGGUGUAGCGGUGAAAUGCGUAGAUAUUGGGAGGAACACCGGUGGCGAAGGCGGCCCCCUGGACCGGUACUGACGCUGAGGCGCGAAAGCGUGGGGAUCAAACAGG